UGGGUGCUUGUGGAGGAAGGAAACAGGGAGAUUAAGGGCCGGGGCCUCUGAAAGGGGAAACGGGGUGAUGCAGGAUUAGCCCAGGUCUUUGACAGAUUAGGCCACGCCUGCCUGCGCAGAAAAUAGGUAGAUAGAUUAAGGAAG